rnacentral:rRNA from 1 species
GUGGGGAAUAUUGGACAAUGGGCGAAAGCCUGAUCCAGCCAUGCCGCGUGUGUGAAGAAGGUCUUCGGAUUGUAAAGCACUUUAAGUUGGGAGGAAGGGCAGUAAGUUAAUACCUUGCUGUUUUGACGUUACCGACAGAAUAAGCACCGGCUAACUUCGUGCCAGCAGCCGCGGUAAUACGAAGGGUGCAAGCGUUAAUCGGAAUUACUGGGCGUAAAGCGCGCGUAGGUGGUUUUGUAAGUUGGAGGUGAAAUCCCCGGGCUCAACCUGGGAACUGCCUCAAAAACUGCAUUGCUAGAGUACGGUAGAGGGUAGUGGAAUUUCCUGUGUAGCGGUGAAAUGCGUAGAUAUAGGAAGGAACACCAGUGGCGAAGGCGACUACCUGGACUGAUACUGACACUGAGGUGCGAAAGCGUGGGGAGCAAACAGGAUUAGAUACCCUAGUAGUCC